rnacentral:rRNA from 1 species
AGAGUUUGAUCCUGGCUCAGGACGAACGCUGGCGGCGUGCCUAAUACAUGCAAGUCGAGCGGAGUGGAUAGUGUGCUUGCACGCUAGAAACUUAGCGGCGGACGGGUGAGUAACACGUAGGUAACCUACCCAUAAGACUGGGAUAACCCACGGAAACGUGAGCUAAAACCAGAUAGGCAUCAUCCUCGCAUGAGGGAGAU